UGCGGCUCUGAUCCUCUGCUGUGUGGGAAACCAACAGAUUUCAGCCAGCUAGCUUAGCUUUUACACUAACCUGGAUAGCUGACAGUUUAGGGUUUAACAGCGGUCUAAAAUAAACCAUGAUCAGGAUUGCUAGUAAAAUAUCUAAACAAACCGGAGCAGCGCUAGCGUGUAGCUGACCCUUUAUAGAAGUAAGAUCCAGCAUUGACCAAGCUAGUGGUUGCUAGGAAGCUAGCUAGCUAUAUAGGACGCUAAGAUUAAUAUAGGUUACACCAGUUCAAGACAGGAUGCUAUGACAAUCUGUAAUUUUUGGCGGACAUGGUUGAAGGCGUGCUUAUGAGUCUGUAUUUUAUUUAAGAAGCCACUUGAGACUCUAACAAACAAGCGGUGAGUUAAAAUCCCUCAGCAUUCUCAUUGGGAAUCAGCUGUCGGUGUUAUUUCACGAACACUAGGCCAUAUUUCAGUAGAACAAAACGCAACGUGUGAGAAAGUACAAUUUGGCUUCUUGUGUAUAAUGCGUUUUUUUUUUAUCGUUUCACCUCUUAUUAAAAGCAACAAAAGCGCCGUGGCUCGGUUCAUUAGUGGGCAGAUAAAGUGGUGAUUAGUCCACACCGGUCGCUCCUCCUACACUGACAGCCGGAGCUAGUCCGCGUUUUAUAUUAAAGCUAGGUUUGUAUGCAGCGGCAACGAGAAGAGGCUUUUCCCCAAAGAGAGGACUCGGAGCUCAGGGAGGAACUGCUGACUGCAUGAGAAUGAGCCAUGGUCCGUUUCACCACAUCAUCCACUGCAGUCAGGAGAAAGACUUUUAACAGCUCCGAGCAGCUUUACUGCAGAAGAACAGGACUGCAGCAGCUCACAGGACCAGCACAGCACCGGCGACCUGGUUUCCUAUCAUCAGUACAGUAAUGCCUGAACCUUACAUCCUAGAUUAUUUAAGACACCAUGUAACGUUUAGAAAAUAGUCUGGGAAAAGAGCGAUUUUUCAAGGUUUUGAGCUUAAAAGUAGCAGUUAGAUUUCCAUGAGAAGAGAUCAAGAUGACGAUGGAAAACUCGACCAUUAAGAAUCGGAUUAAAAACCUGCUCCGAUCUCCUUCGAUCAAGCUGAGGAGAAAUAAACCAAGAAACAACAAGGAAAACCUGGGAAAUAAGGUGACUCUUGAAAAGGUUUUGGGAAUUACUGCUGCAGGAAACCGUGCCUUGGCUUGUGACCCUCACUCUGGUUUGGUAGCAUACCCUGCAGGGUGCGUGGUGGUGCUCCUGAAUCCCAAGAAGAAUAAACAGUAUCAUAUUCUCAACAACUCCAGGAAAACAAUCACCACUCUAGCUUUCUCGCCAGAUGGCAAAUAUGUCGUCACAGGAGAGAGUGGUCAUAUGCCAGCAGUGCGUGUGUGGGAUGUGGUGGCAAGAACUCAGGUUGCAGAGCUACAGGAGCAUAAGUAUGGCGUGGCCUGUGUAGCUUUCUCUCCCAACAGCAAGUACAUCGUCAGUGUAGGCUACCAGCAUGACAUGAUUGUCAACGUCUGGGCCUGGAAGAAAAAUGUGCUGGUGGCUGCCAAUAAAGUCUCCAGUAAAGUGAUGGCCGUGUCAUUUUCGGAUGACAGCUCCUACUUUGUCACAGCAGGGAAUAGACAUGUCAAGUUUUGGUACCUGGACCACACCAAGGCCUCCAAGGUCAAUGCCACAGUGCCCUUACUGGGUCGUUCUGGGUUGCUGGGUGAACUCAGGAACAACUUCUUCAGUGAUGUGGCUUGUGGUAAGGGCCGGAAAGCCAGCAGCACAUUCUGUAUCACUUCCUCAGGCCUGCUGUGUGAGUUCAAUGACAAGAGGCUGCUGGAUAAGUGGGUGGAGCUUAGGAAAAACGACAAUAUCACAACUGGCUUAGCCACCGCUCUGUCUGUCACUGAAGAUCUGAUAUUCUGUGGCUGUGCUGAUGGAACUGUGCGAGCUUUCAACCCAGUCAACCUGCACUUCCUCUGCACUCUGCCCCGCCCACACAGCCUGGGCACUGACAUCGCCACGGUCACUGACGCAAGCCACCUAUUUGCAUACAAAUUGGAUGCUCGGUACCCUGACACAGUGGCUGUGUCGUAUGACCCCACCAACCGCUGGCUGUCCUGUGUUUACAACGAUCAUAGUCUGUAUGUCUGGGAUGUUCGUGACUUUCACAAAGUGGGAAAGGUUUACUCUGCCCUGUAUCAUGCCUCUUGUGUGUGGAGUGUAGAGAUGUACCCACAGAACAGUGAGAGAGAGAGGUCUUGUCUUCCUCUGGGAUCCUUCCUUAGCUGCUCUUCUGACAACACCAUCCGCCUUUGGAACACAGACGGAUACAAUGCCACAGUCAAGCGCAACGUCAUCAGCAAUGACCUCCAGAAAAUAAUUUAUAUAGACAAUAAUGUCGCCGCUUUGCUGGACCCGGACUGCACCAUCUCCAACAAUUCAGAGAAAGCUGAUCCACAGACCUCCGAGAACAGGACUGGCAUUAGGACCAUGUGUGUCAGCCCAGACGGUCAGCACCUGGCAUCAGGGGACCGCAAUGGAAUACUAAGGAUCCAUGAGCUACAGAGCAUGGAGGAGAUUCUUAAUGUGCAGGCCCACGACUCAGAGAUCCUAUGUUUGGAGUAUUCAAAGCCUGAGACAGGCUUGAGGCUGUUGGCCACAGCAAGCAGAGACAGGCUAAUCCAUGUUCUUGAUGCUCAGUCUGAGUAUGGUCUGGUGCAGACACUUGAUGAACAUUCCUCCUCCAUCACUGCAGUGCGGUUUGCUGCAAAUGAAGGCAAAAUCAGAAUGAUCAGUUGUGGUGCUGACAAAAGUAUCUAUUUCCGCACAGCACAUAAGACAGAUGAAGGCAUCAUGUUUACACGCACCCACCAUAUUGUGAGGAAGACUACUCUGUACGAUAUGGAUAUUGACCCACUGCGCAAAUACGCUGCUGUUGGCUGCCAGGAUCGUAGCAUCAGGAUCUUUAACAUAAGCAAUGGCAAACAGAAGAAAAUAUACAAGGGCUCUCAGGGGGAGGAUGGCACCCUCAUUAAGGUGCAAAUGGAUCCAUCUGGGAUGUACGUGGCUACCAGCUGCUCCGACAAAAACAUCAACAUUUUUGACUUCUACACUGGGGAGUGUGUAGCCACCAUGUUCGGGCACUCUGAAAUCGUCACUGGGAUGAAGUUUACCAAUGAUUGCAAGCAUCUGAUAUCAGUGUCCGGGGACAGCUGCAUCUUUGUGUGGAGACUAAACCCAGAGCUGACCAUCAGUAUGAAACAAAGACUUUCUGAUCUUAAACAGAAGAGCAAACCUGUACAGAAAAGCCCUCCCACUAAACAACAUCCAGUCAGCACUAGGAGAGAUGUGCACAGUGCUCCAGCUAUAGGCACCAUGUCCUCAGACAGUGAUAAAGAGCCAGAGGAAGAAGAGGUUAUCGAAGAGGAGGAUGAAUACAAUUUUCCUCAUCUAUCUUCCGGCAGCAGCACAGGAGAAGAGACUGGAUCAUCAGAGGAGAAGCAUGACUCAAUACGAGAGAUGAGAAGUAUUUCUAACAGCAGUCCAGCAGGAGAGAGCUCUGAGCCAAGGCAAAGGCGACGCUGGUCCAGGCGAACAGGCAGUGCAGAUUUGAUGGUGAAGUCCAUGCUGGACCUGAGGCAGCUGGAGUCUUUCGCUAAGUCUCCAGUUGUGAACCGAGAGUCUGUGCUGCAUCCAGAUCUGGAUCUUGGCAGUACAAUCAGCCUACAGACCAUCACUGCAUGGGUGGAGGACCCAGAAGUGCAGGUCCCAAGAGGACACACGCGUCCUCAGUACAUCCCACUUUCACCUCAGACGCCAGACACAGAAGCUGUGGUGCUUUACCCUGAGGGCUGUGAGGACAGAGUGAGCCUGGCAGGCAGUGAGUACCAGGUCAAGGAGUUAGCCCAUGAUAUGAGGUUACCUAAAGGAAACCCCUGUCCUGAGAAGCAGAGCCCUGACAGUGCAUGCUCAAUGGAUUAUUCCAACAGCUGUCUGUCCAGCCCAGAUCAGCCUGGAGAAGACUCUGAACCCACUGAGCCACUGAGCGUGGAUGGAAACUCAUCUGAGCUGGACAUGGAAGACCUAGAAGAGGAAGAGGAGGAGAGCUUAAGGAAGACUGAGAUCUGUAGCUUCGUGUCUCAGACUCCAGACCAAGAAGCCUUCCUGAAAAAAAACUUUGCAAACUUGUCAGAUGUCAGCACAUCAGGAAAUCCAAAUCCUCCUCUUCAGCCAGCAAUCACUGACAGCAUCUCAUCAAAGUUCCUUACUGGUUCCACUGGCUGCAGGCAGGCAUUUGUUUCCCCUUCAAGCAAAACUACUGAGAGUAAGGUUGCUAGUGAAUUGGUGCAUCUCGCGGUUUCUGAAGUGCGCCCUCUUAUGGGGGACAGAAAACAGAGCAGCCUGAAAGAACUCCAGAGCCCUGAGAGGCCUUCAGUUCUGCACUUAACUUCUGAGAAGAAACGCAUCCCUGUAGAUAUUUCUGCUGAUUCACUGGGUGCCUCAGCCGGCAUGAGAAAAGCCCAGUCAAUCCACAGCAUCUCUUCAGAGGCUGAUUUGCCUCAGACAUCUACACAUCUUUCAAAGGAGGUUCCCCCUCAGCCCCAGCCUUGCGAGCGUGCUCCACCAUCCACACUGCGCCGCACACUUCCUAGUGUACCUCUCUCGAGCCCAACGUCUACCUUGCCCAGGGACUGCCCUACACCAACUAAGUCCAAGCCACGAUCGUACAUGAGCCCUACCACUAGUUCCAUGGCCAAGAUGUCACGCUCCGUGUCCAUGAGUGACAGCCUGAAUGUGAGUGAACUCAGUGAAGUACCAGCAGGCUCAGACACCAGCCGAAUCUCAGGGUCAGACACUUCCAACCUUCGCAAUUCUUCUCGCAGUAAACCCUCAUCUCCAGUAGUCCCACUGCCCUCUUCAUGUAUUGGGUCUCCCUCCCGUGGUGCUGUUGUACCCACCAUAAGUGGUGCAGCCAAUUCUAACUCUUCUUCUAAAGGCAUCCAAGCCAAAUUACCCAGCAGUGCUCGUCCACAGCUACACCUGGACAUCACCAAGCCUCUCCCAGAUAAGCCUUCCAUGGCCUCCUUCUCUCCUAACAGCAAGAAUACCAAGCUUGGCCAUAAGGAAGAUCUUAAGGAAGGCAACCAGACUCCAGUAAGUGCAGCACCCCUUCCAGGACCAGAGCGUGAUUCCAGCAACCUGCAGCCAGUCAUAUGCUCUGUCCCUACUGACACCAUGCCACUGGAGCAACAGGAGCUAAAUACUGAUCAGUCUGAAGUGCCAGAGAAAGUCCAGGGAAAAGAUACAGAGCUGGAGGAGUCUCAGACCAAGCAAUCAAGUCAGAAUCAGAGCAGCACAGUUUGUCUGCAGGCAGCCAAUCAAGCCCAGGAUUCAGAUGCAUCUCUCAGUAUGGAGUCAUGCAAGCUUGCAGCAAGUGAACUUCAAAAUAGUUUUAAAAAGGCAUGCCACUUCUUCAGGAUGCUAAGCAGCUCCACAGACCAGAGGCAGGAGCAUCAGGAGAUGUCUCAAGUGUUGACUGAGGCGUUCGAUGCAGUACAGGCUGAGAUGAACUCAUUGCCACAUUAUCUAGAAAGCCGCUCUGGCUCCAUCAGCAGCUCCGUGUGUGUGCUGGGGAGUGGGGCAGGAGGUGUGGGUGAGGAACGAACAUUGGCAUUGCUGGAGCAGUAUUCACAGCUUCUUCUCAAAGCUGUGGAGAAGAGAAUGGACAACAAAGUCUGACAUGCUUCAGUUUCAUAAUAAUUACAACAUUCAGGCUGAGGCCGGAUCCCAAGCCAUGACUCUGCGCAGAAGCAGAUUCUUUCAGCACAGAUGAACAGACUCAGUGUGACAGGCAUGGCCAAAUUGCACUAUAGACUGUAAUCUCAUCGGCCUACCUCCCUUUUUUAGCGUGUUAUUACAGCAAUUGUAUAGUCUACACUUCACCUCAUUGCCAAAUAAGGU